CCUCCUUCUUCUGAAAACAAAUACUUAGUAAAAUUUUUGUUCAUUCCCUCCACAAGCAGGUUCAUCCCCUUUCAGAAACCCUCAUCCCCACAAGCACCGUCGUCGAAGUGGAAACCCUGCCUCCAAAGCUCACCAUCGUUGCCCCCACUCACUCUCUUCACUCUCGCCGUUGACACUCUCGUCGUUGACACUCUCGCUCUUGUCAUCGACCCUCUCACUCUCGCCAUUGACCCUCUCCCACUCACCACUCUCCACAUUGCUGCACUACUGACCGUCGCUGCGCCGCCCUACCAUCGUCGCUGCGCCGCCCUCACCACCGUCAUCACACCCAAAUCAGAGAAAAGUGUUUGCCAUCACCACUCACCACUCACGGCGUCACCACUCACCACUCCAGGAAGACUCUGCGCUCAUUCAUCUUCCCCACUCAUCUUCAUCGUCGCUUCUCUUCGCUGCGGGUCACAUCUCGAAGACUCUGCGCUCAACUGAAAGCUUUCUUCAUUCGCGAGCGCAGGAGAACCCGUGAAUUUAGGGGUUUUAUUCCAUUAACACAGGUGUGUUUGGCCAUGAUUAGUUGCUGCGCAGGAAUACCAGGAUGAGUUGCUUAUUCUAUUUGUUGCUUAUUAUUAGUUUUCUUUUUCUUUCAAUUCUACUAAGUACCAGCAGGUUUGGCAAUUGAGACUAUAACCGAUGACAGGGAUACAACAUAUGAAGAGGAUAUCAAAUCUGCUGGGACCAAGAAAAGUGAUUCAAAAAGGUUAAAAUGACGUUAGAACUUUUGUGAAAAAAUGAGGUUCGACUCUGUUCCUAUAUUAAUGAUAUUCAAGGUCAGGGAUAUGGAAAGAAAGCAGGUCACUCAAUGUUCUUUCUUGAGAAUAUUUUUGUUCCACCAAUCAAAUUCCGCCCUCCCACUAAAGGAGGUGAUAUGGUAAGUGUGAAUAAUAAAUAAAGACUGUUAACGAGUUGUGCUAUUUCUCUAUCUUCUUUGUUUGUACUCCAUGUUCUUGCUUCUACUGUGGAGUGUGGAAUAUUUCCAAAGUUUGUUAAUGCAAGGUAUAGGUUUAGGGAAGUACUCUGAAUUUGAAAUUGUUGUGGGAUAUAAAUGUAGGAAAAAUGUACUUAUGAAAUUGUUAGCAGAUAUAUAUAGAUUGGAAAAUGAAGGAUUUUUGUUAGAAAAUUCUAUCAUGACUCA